rnacentral:rRNA from 1 species
AGUGAACGCUGGCGGUAUGCCUAACACAUGCCAGUCGAACGGCAGCACAGUAAGAGCUUGCUCUUACGGGUGGCGAGUGGCGGGCGGGUGAGGAAUACAUCGGAAUCUACUUUUUCGUGGGGGAUAACGUAGGGAAACUUACGCUAAUACCGCAUACUACCUACGGGUGAAAGCAGGGGAUCUUCGGACCUUUCGCGAUUGAAUGAGCCGAUGUCGGAUUAGCUAGUUGGCGGGGUAAAGGCCCACCAAGGCGACGAUCCGUAGCUGGUCUGAGAGGAUGAUCAGCCACACUGGAACUGAGACACGGUCCAGACUCCUACGGGAGGCAGCAGUGGGGAAUAUUGGACAAUGGGCGCAAGCCUGAUCCAGCCAUACCGCGUGGGUGAAGAAGGCCUUCGGGUUGUAAAGCCCUUUUGUUGGGAAAGAAAAGCAGCAGGUUAAUACCCCGCUGUUCUGACGGUACCCAAAGAAUAAGCACCGGCUAACUUCGUG